UGAUUCCAACGUUUGAUUUGUGUUAAUGGGUUUGUGAUUGAUCCACCAGAGCAUUGUUGGAAUCGAAUUAAUUGUUGGUGGGCUUGGUUGGGUUGGCUGUAUAUCUUUGGAUGUAUCUAGUUAUCACCUUAGAGCAGGAUCGGCUUGUGAGCUGUAGCCAACUUGUUUCUGGGUUUUCUCAGAAUUCGAUUUGCUUCCACUUGGUUGUUUGGUUAGCAUGGUUUAAUAUAGCUUGAGAAAUUUGAUUUGGGUUUGUGAAUUCUGAUUUGUUUUUAGAAUCCAAAUGAAUUUUGAUUGCAGGAAAUAAGCUAAUACAUGAAUUUUGGGAUUAUGAUUUCCGGGCUUAACUUUUGUUCUUUAAGCUGA
rnacentral:lncRNA from 1 species